rnacentral:rRNA from 1 species
CCUCGGGUGGCUGCAGUGGGGAAUAUUGGACAAUGGGGGCAACCCUGAUCCAGCCAUGCCGCGUGUGUGAAGAAGGCCCUCGGGUUGUAAAGCACUUUCAGUGAGGAAGAACGCCUGGUGGUUAAUACCCAUCAGGAAAGACAUCACUCACAGAAGAAGCACCGGCUAACUCCGUGCCAGCAGCCGCGGUAAUACGGAGGGUGCGAGCGUUAAUCGGAAUUACUGGGCGUAAAGCGCGCGUAGGUGGCUUGAUAAGCCGGUUGUGAAAGCCCCGGGCUCAACCUGGGAACGGCAUCCGGAACUGUCAAGCUAGAGUGCAGGAGAGGAAGGUAGAAUUCCCGGUGUAGCGGUGAAAUGCGUAGAGAUCGGGAGGAAUACCAGUGGCGAAGGCGGCCUUCUGGACUGACACUGACACUGAGGUGCGAAAGCGUGGGUAGCAAACAGGAUUAGAUACCCUAGUAGUC